GUCGUCCAUGCGGUGGGGAGAGGGUCCUAAUACUACGCCGACACUUCCACGACAUGACUCGUCUCUACCAAUACAUGGGCAGACAUCACAGCCAUAUCUGCCCACGCGAGGGAUUAGGAUGCCCGAGGAGAAUCGUUGGGCUGAGACAAGCGAGGGAGCACAAAGCUACAACAACGGUCAGGAAAUUAAUGAUCCAUCAUGGGGAGAUGAACAUACCCAGCAUGGCGUAC